rnacentral:tRNA from 1 species
GAAACGAGGGGUCCAAGAAAAAGCUGCUAACUUUUUUCUUUAACGGUUAGACUCCGUUUACGUUUCU